CAACAGGGAUUGCCCUAGUAACGGCGAGUGAAGCGGCAACAGCUCAAAUUUGAAAUCUGGCUCUCGGGCCCGAGUUGUAAUUUGUAGAGGAUGACUUUGAUGCGGUGCCUUCCGAGUUCCCUGGAACGGGACGCCAUAGAGGGUGAGAGCCCCGUCUGGUUGGAUGCCAAAUCUCUGUAAGUCUCCUUCGACGAGUCGAGUAGUUUGGGAAUGCUGCUCUAAAUGGGAGGUAUAUGUCUUCUAAAGCUAAAUACCGGCCAGAGACCGAUAGCGCACAAGUAGAGUGAUCGAAAGAUGAAAAGCACUUUGAAAAGAGAGUUAAAAAGUACGUGAAAUUGUUGAAAGGGAAGCGUUUAUGACCAGACUUGGGCUUGGUUAAUCAUCUGGGGUUCUCCCCAGUGCACUUUUCCAGUUCAGGCCAGCAUCAGUUUUCGCCGGGGGAUAAAGACUUCGGGAAUGUGGCUCCUCUCGGGGAGUGUUAU
rnacentral:rRNA from 1 species